rnacentral:misc_RNA from 1 species
GAAAUGCGAUAACUAGUGUGAAUUGCAGAAUUCCGUGAAUCAUCGAGUCUUUGAACGCACAUUGCGCCCCCUGGUAUUCCGGGGGGCAUGCCUGUCCGAGCGUCAUUGCUGCCCAUCAAGCACGGCUUGUGUGUUGGGUCGUCGUCCCCUCUCCGGGAGGGACGGGCCCCAAAGGCAGCGGCGGCACCGCGUCCGAUCCUCGAGCGUAUGGGGCUUUGUCACCCGCUCUGUAGGCCCGGCCGGCGCUUGCCGAACGCAAAUCAAUCUUUUUCCAGGUUGACCUCGGAUCAGGUAGGGAUACCCGCUGAACUUAAGC